rnacentral:rRNA from 1 species
GUCCACGCCGUAAACGAUGGAUACUAGCUGUUGGGCGCAAGUUCAGUGGCUAAGCGAAAGUGAUAAGUAUCCCACCUGGGGAGUACGUUCGCAAGAAUGAAACUCAAAGGAAUUGACGGGGGCCCGCACAAGCGGUGGAGCAUGUGGUUUAAUUCGAUGAUACGCGAGGAACCUUACCAAGGCUUAAAUGUAGAUUGACCGAUUUGGAAACAGAUCUUUCGCAAGACAAUUUACAAGGUGCUGCAUGGUUGUCGU